CAGUAGCCGCGGUAAUACGUAGGGUGCAAGCAUUAAUCGGAAUUACUGGGCGUAAAGCGUGCGUAGGCGGUUUGUUAAGUCUGCUGUGAAAUCCCCGGGCUCAACCUGGGAAUGGCAGUGGAUACUGGCAAGCUAGAGUGUGUCAGAGGAUGGUGGAAUUCCCGGUGUAGCGGUGAAAUGCGUAGAGAUCGGGAGGAACAUCAGUGGCGAAGGCGGCCAUCUGGGACAACACUGACGCUGAGGCACGAAAGCGUGGGGAGCAAACAGGAUUAGAUACCCCGUAGUCCCUGUCUCUUAUACC
rnacentral:rRNA from 1 species